rnacentral:rRNA from 1 species
UACGUAGGGGGCUAGCGUUGUCCGGAAUCAUUGGGCGUAAAGCGCGUGUAGGCGGUCCGGUAAGUCCGCUGUGAAAGUCGAGGGCUCAACCCUCGAAUGCCGGUGGAUACUGUCGGGCUUGAGUACGGGAGAGGCGAGUGGAAUUCCUGGUGUAGCGGUGAAAUGCGCAGAUAUCAGGAGGAACACCGGUGGCGAAGGCGGCGACCUGGGACAAUACUGACGCUGAGGUGCGAAAGUGUGGGGAGCGAACAGG